GUUUGGUGUACCAAAUCCCCAACUCAUCUGCCCGGAGUUUAUAUAUCUGUGAGCUGCCAGUCAUGGAUCUAUUUUGGUGCCAAGAGUUGGAAAGGAGGCUGGGGAACUUCCCUGAACAUAGCCCUAUCAAUGAGUAGAUAGUCCAAUAAAACUAUGUUAACAUCCAAACCAUAUAUGCCAUAUCGUGUCUCUAAAGCCACCAAGAGGAGCACCAGUGGCCAACAAGCGGAUCCACAUUCUGGAGGAGCAGCUGGACCCUGAGCAUGAUUGCUUCUCAACCCUGUUUCAC